rnacentral:lncRNA from 1 species
AUUCCUGGCCAUUAAUCAAAUGCUCUUGUUACUAUCCUAAACUUAUUCUCUCAUCAAAUCAAAUAAUCAGAAAAUAAAAAAAUAAAAUAAAAGUUUGGGAUAGUAAACUUGAGCCCUUGAGUAAUCAGAUUUAAUGGUCAAGAUUAAAACAAAGAGUCACACAUUGUCAACCACACGCCUGACAAUGUGUGUUUCUUUGUUUUAAUCCUGAUAAUUUAAUUUGACUAAUGAAUGGAUCUUGGUUACUAACCUCAACUUAUUCUCUCAUCCAAUCAAAUAACCCAUAAAAAAAAGAAAAAAAAAGAAAAAGUGUAUGAUAAUAAACUUGAGCCUUUGA